ensembl:miRNA gmo-mir-128-1 gmo-mir-128-1
CGGGGCCGGAACACUGCCUGAGAGGUCCGUAACGAUUCUCACAGUGAACCGGUCUCUUU